CCGGAUUUACUGGGUGUAAAGGGAGCGCAGGCGGUUUGGCAAGUUGAGAGUGGAAGCAGGGGGCUCAACCCCCUGACUGCUCCCAAAACUGUUAAACUUGAGUAUGGGAGAGGCAGGCGGAAUUCCUAGUGUAGCGGUGAAAUGCUUAGAUAUUAGGAAGAACACCGGUGGCGAAGGCGGCCUGCUGGACCAAAACUGACGCUGAGGCUCGAAAGCGUGGGUAGCAAACAGGAUUAGAUACCCUGGUAGUCCACGCUGUAAACGAUGAAUACUAGGUGCUGGGAGGCAUAAGCCUUUCGGUGCCGUCGCAAACGCAUUAAGUAUUCCACCUGGGGAGUACGUUCGCAAGAAUGAAACUCAAAGGAAUUGACGGGGACCCGCACAAGCGGUGGAGCAUGUGGUUUAAUUCGACGCAACGCGAAGAACCUUACCCGGUCUUGAGAUCCUCCUGAAUACAGGGUAAUGCCUGUAGUCCUUCGGGACAGGAGAGACAGGUGGUGCAUGGUUGUCGUCAGCUCGUGUCGUGAGAAG
rnacentral:rRNA from 1 species